rnacentral:rRNA from 1 species
GACGAACGCUGGCGGCGUGCCUAACACAUGCAAGUCGAACGAAGCAUAGCAAUAUGCUUAGUGGCGGACGGGUGAGUAACGCGUGAACAAUCUGCCCUGUACAAAGGAAUAGCCUCGGGAAACCGGGAUUAAAACCGUAUGACACUUUAGUAUCGCAUGAUAAGAAAGUCAAAUCGAUUAGAGGUAUGGGAUGAGUUCGCGUCUGAUUAGCUGGUUGGCGGGGUAACGGCCCACCAAGGCGACGAUCAGUAGCCGGCCUGAGAGGGUGAACGGCCACACUGGAACUGAGACACGGUCCAGACUCCUACGGGAGGCAGCAGUGGGGAAUAUUCCGCAAUGGACGAAAGUCUGACGGAGCAACGCCGCGUGAGUGAUGAAGGUUUUCGGACUGUAAAGCUCUGUUGUUUGGGACGAAAGUGCCUGUUGCGAACAGUUACGGGUAUUGACGGUACUAAACGAGGAAGCCACGGCUAACUACGUG